GGGCUCGUAGCUCAGUGGUUAGAGCAUUCGGCUGAUAACCGAAAGGUCAUAGGUUCAAAUCCUAUCGAGCCCAC
rnacentral:tRNA from 1 species